UGCCAGCAGCCGCGGUAAUACGAAGGGGGCUAGCGUUGUUCGGAAUUACUGGGCGUAAAGCGCACGUAGGCGGACUUUUAAGUCAGAUGUGAAAUCCCAGGGCUCAACCCUGGAACUGCCUCAUAAACUCCUGGUCUAGAGUUCGAGAGAGGUGAGUGGAAUUCCGAGUGUAGAGGUGAAAUUCCUAGAUAUUGGGAAGAACACCAGUGGCGAAGGCGGCUAACUGGCUCGGUACUGACGCUGAGAUGCGAAAGCGUGGGGAGCAAACAGGAUUAGAUA
rnacentral:rRNA from 1 species